rnacentral:rRNA from 1 species
AUUGAACGCUGGCGGCAUGCCUUAUACAUGCAAGUCGAACGGCAGCACGGGGCAACCUGGUGGCGAGUGGCGAACGGGUGAGUAAUGCAUCGGAACGUACCUUUCAGUGGGGGAUAACGUAGCGAAAGUUACGCUAAUACCGCAUAUUCUGUGAGCAGGAAAGCAGGGGAUCGCAAGGACUUGCGCUGAUUGAGCGGCCGAUGUCAGAUUAGCUAGUUGGUGAGGUAAAGGCUCACCAAGGCGACGAUCUGUAGCAGGUCUGAGAGGAUGAUCCGCCACACUGGAACUGAGACACGGUCCAGACUCCUACGGGAGGCAGCAGUGGGGAAUUUUGGACAAUGGGGGCAACCCUGAUCCAGCCAUGCCGCGUGAGUGAAGAAGGCCUUCGGGUUGUAAAGCUCUUUCGGCCGGAAGAAAUCGCACGGGCUAAUACCCUGUGUGGAUGACGGUACCGGAAUAAGAAGCACCGGCUAACUACGUGCCAGCCGCCGCAGUAA